rnacentral:lncRNA from 1 species
AUGGCUCGGGCUACUAAAGGUCCCGUAGUGAAGUCCAUCCCUCCCACUGCUAGGACAGCACACUCAGACUCACUUACUGCCCAGAGCCUUGGAAUUUUACGAAUCAUGAAUCGUCCGGCACAAUGGGUGGUCAUCAUCACACUUCUGAUUUCUUGGUCAAUAGCAGGUGUUAUCAUGUUUGAUUUUGUCAGUGACAAUCAGAUUGCAAGCAUCCAGGAUUUUGGCUCUGAUCCAGUGCUAGCAGUGAGCAAGGCCAUUGAAGGCAUUGAAAAAAGGAUAAACCAUAUGAACGACAUGCUUUAUGAUGCUAUCGAGUAUGCCACUGAAAUAAUAUUUAAUCCGAGGGACGCUAUUAGUUUAGCAGCCGACUCUUCUGUGUCUUAUCUGUCAGGAAUAUUUAGUGCCGAUGGAGAUUCAGGAGUCACUGAAACAGUGAAAUAUGCUGGCACUGUAUUGGAUGAAGCUACAGAAUGGAUCAGAACUCCAGUGAGCUACUUUUUCCACUUGUUUGAAGACAUAUUGGCUAUAGCGAUUACUCCAGUGGACAUGAUCACUGAAGUUGCUGUGCAAAUUUUAAGUGGGAUCAAGACCAUUAUACAAUACAUUUCAGCCAUGUUUGGGGGUAUUGAAGGCAUCACUGAAACAGUGAAACUUGGUGGCACUGUAUUGGAUGAAGUUACUGAAUGGAUUAGAUUCCCAGUGGGCUACUUAUUCCACUUAUUUGAAGACAUCUUGGAUGUAGCAAUCAUUUAUCCAGGGGACAUUGCCACUGAAGCAGUUCUGCAAAUUUUAAGUAGGAUCAAGACCAUUUCUUCAGCCAUAUUUGGGUACAUUGAAGCUUGGUUUCCCAAAUUGAGCACGGAUCCUGAAGGACUGGCUGUAAUUGUUGUAGAGGAGGCCACAGACAUAAAGACCACUGUCUCUAAUUACCUAACCAGUCUGAUAACAGUGGAUGAAGGGGGUAUUCCUGACAUUAGCUUUGAUCCCAUGAAAGUUGUCACAGACACUGUUGAGGAGUUUGCUGACAGGAGAGAUAUGUUCAUGGCCUAUCUCUUCAACAUGGAAGACAAAGGUGACACACCGCAAGUUAUAAGACGAAAAGGAGAAUUUCUGCCACCUAUAGAAAAAGAUAUGAGGGAAAAGGAGGCUGAAGGUAAAGAGGAAGAGAUAACACUUCAACAAAUAAAUAUAACAGUAGAAAAAGUCAAGAAGGAAAAGAAGAUAGAAAAGGCUAAAAGAAAAGAAAAAUCCAAAGAGGACGAGACUCGAGAACCAGCAGAAAAGGACACCAAGAAAACAACUGAGAAAAAGGUCAAGGUGACUAAAGUGGACCAGGAAGCCCCUAUAAAAAAGAAGAAAUCUGAACUUAAAAUGGCCAAAAAAGAGACCAAACCAGCACAAUCUAAGAAAGAGCCUCGAGUUACAAAAGAAAAGGCUAAACCAGCUCGUUCAAAGAAAGUUGCUGUUGAAAAACCAAAACUUGCUCCUGGAAAGAAAGAGCCUAAGGUUUCUAAAGAGAAGGCCAAGCUGAAACCCUCAAAGAAAGCUGAAGAGAAACAAAGACCUGUUCCUGUGAAGAAAAAGGCUUUAGCACCCAAGGACAAAAUUAAACCGGCCCUUUUGAAAAAAGAAGAAAAGCCAACAACCACCACUGUUAAAAAAGAGCCUGCAGUUGCAAAAGAGAAAGUCAAACCAGUGCCUUCAAAGAAAGAUACUGAAGCUACUAAGGAUAAAGUGAAACCAGCCCCAGUUAAGAAAGAACCUGCAGUUUCAAAAGGGAAAGCAAAAGCCAAAAGUUCCAAAAAAGAGGCAGAAGUUGCCAAAGACAAGCAUAAACCUGUCGCUGUGAAGAAAGAAACUGCUGUUGCAGUUAAAAAAGCAAAACCAAAAGCUGAACCAAAGAAAGUUACCAAAGAGAAAGCUAAAGCAGAACCUGCAAAGAAAGAACCUGAGAUAACCAAAGGAAAACUGAGGGCACCAAAGAAAGAGGCUAAAGUCAUCAAGGUGGAAACCAAACCAGCUCCUGCAAAGAAAGAGGCUAAAGUCAUCAAAGGUGUUAAACCAGCUCCUAAGAAGAAAGAGCCUGAAGUAAUCAAGAAGAAAGUUAAACUGGCUCCUGUAAAGAAAAGUAUGAAUCUCAAUGAAAUCAUGCUGAAUAUGUUGUUGUUGUUCCACUUUAUAAUGAUCAUUUAUUACAUUUUACAGAGCAUGGAAGUUGCUAAAAAAAAGGCACUUGUCCUAAAACCCAAAAAAGGUUAG